UACGUAGGGGGCGAGCGUUGUCCGGAUUUAUUGGGCGUAAAGAGCGUGUAGGCGGACUUAAAGGUCUGGUGUGAAAGCCCGGGGCUCAACCCCGGAGGGUCACUGGAAACCAUAAGUCUUGAAUCUGGAAGAGGAGAGUGGAAUUCCUGGUGUAGCGGUGAAAUGCGCAGAUAUCAGGAGGAACACCAAUGGCGAAGGCAGCUCGCUGGGACGGUACUGACGCUGAGACGCGAAAGCGUGGGGAGCAAACAGG
rnacentral:rRNA from 1 species